GACGAACCGUCCAAACGUUGUUCGGAAUCACUGGGCUUAAAGGGCGCGUAGGCGGGUGAGCAAGUCUGUGGUGAAAUCCCCCGGCUUAACCGGGGACCUGCCGUGGAUACUGCCCAUCUCGAGGAAGAUAGGGGCGUCUGGAACUAGCGGUGGAGCGGUGAAAUGCGUUGAUAUCGCUAGGAACUCCGGUGGCGAAGGCGAGACGCUGGAUCUUUUCUGACGCUGAGGCGCGAAAGCCAGGGGAGCGAACGGG
rnacentral:rRNA from 1 species